UAAGUGAAAGAAAUGGUG
rnacentral:miRNA from 1 species